rnacentral:rRNA from 1 species
AGCGUACACGGUGGAUGCCCUGGCAGUCAGAGGCGAUGAAGGACGUGCUAAUCUGCGAAAAGCGUCGGUAAGGUGAUAUGAACCGUUAUAACCGGCGAUGUCCGAAUGGGGAAACCCAGUGCAAUUCGUUGCACUAUCGUUAACUGAAUACAUAGGUUAACGAGGCGAACCGGGGGAACUGAAACAUCUAAGUACCCCGAGGAAAAGAAAUCAACCGAGAUUCCCCCAGUAGCGGCGAGCGAACGGGGAGCAGCCCAGAGUCUGAAUCAGCUUGUGUGUUAGUGGAACGGUCUGGAAAGUCCGACGGUACAGGGUGAUAGUCCCGUACACCAAAAUGCACAGGUUGUGAACUCGAAGAGUAGGGCGGGACACGUGGUAUCCUGUCUGAAUAUGGGGGGACCAUCCUCCAAGGCUAAAUACUCCUGACUGACCGAUAGUGAACCAGUACCGUGAGGGAAAGGCGAAAAGAACCCCGGCGAGGGGAGUGAAAAAGAACCUGAAACCGUGUACGUACAAGCAGUGGGAGCACCUUCGGGUGUGACUGCGUACCUUUUGUAUAAUGGGUCAGCGACUUAUAUUCUGUAGCAAGGUUAACCGUAUAGGGGAGCCGCAGGGAAACCGAGUCUUAACUGGGCGUUAAGUUGCAGGGUAUAGACCCGAAACCCGGUGAUCUAGCCAUGGGCAGGUUGAAGGUUGGGUAACACUAACUGGAGGACCGAACCGACUAAUGUUGAAAAAUUAGCGGAUGACUUGUGGCUGGGGGUGAAAGGCCAAUCAAACCGGGAGAUAGCUGGUUCUCCCCGAAAGCUAUUUAGGUAGCGCCUCGUGAAUUCAUCUUCGGGGGUAGAGCACUGUUUCGGCUAGGGGGUCAUCCCGACUUACCAACCCGAUGCAAACUACGAAUACCGAAGAAUGUUAUCACGGGAGACACACGGCGGGUGCUAACGUCCGUCGUGAAGAGGGAAACAACCCAGACCGCCAGCUAAGGUCCCAAAGUCAUGGUUAAGUGGGAAACGAUGUGGGAAGGCACAGACAGCCAGGAUGUUGGCUUAGAAGCAGCCAUCAUUUAAAGAAAGCGUAAUAGCUCACUGGUCGAGUCGGCCUGCGCGGAAGAUGUAACGGGGCUAAACCAUGCACCGAAGCUGCGGCAGCGACACUAUGUGUUGUUGGGUAGGGGAGCGUUCUGUAAGCCUGCGAAGGUGUGCUGUGAGGCAUGCUGGAGGUAUCAGAAGUGCGAAUGCUGACAUAAGUAACGAUAAAGCGGGUGAAAAGCCCGCUCGCCGGAAGACCAAGGGUUCCUGUCCAACGUUAAUCGGGGCAGGGUGAGUCGACCCCUAAGGCGAGGCCGAAAGGCGUAGUCGAUGGGAAACAGGUUAAUAUUCCUGUACUUGGUGUUACUGCGAAGGGGGGACGGAGAAGGCUAUGUUAGCCGGGCGACGGUUGUCCCGGUUUAAGCAUGUAGGCUGGUUGUCCAGGCAAAUCCGGAUAAUCAAGGCUGAGGUGUGAUGACGAGGCACUACGGUGCUGAAGUAACAAAUGCCCUGCUUCCAGGAAAAGCCUCUAAGCAUCAGGUAACAUUAAAUCGUACCCCAAACCGACACAGGUGGUCAGGUAGAGAAUACCAAGGCGCUUGAGAGAACUCGGGUGAAGGAACUAGGCAAAAUGGUGCCGUAACUUCGGGAGAAGGCACGCUGGUGUGUAGGUGAAGUCCCUGCGGAUGGAGCUGAGACCAGUCGAAGAUACCAGCUGGCUGCAACUGUUUAUUAAAAACACAGCACUGUGCAAACACGAAAGUGGACGUAUACGGUGUGACGCCUGCCCGGUGCCGGAAGGUUAAUUGAUGGGGUUAUCCGUAAGGAGAAGCUCUUGAUCGAAGCCCCGGUAAACGGCGGCCGUAACUAUAACGGUCCUAAGGUAGCGAAAUUCCUUGUCGGGUAAGUUCCGACCUGCACGAAUGGCGUAAUGAUGGCCAGGCUGUCUCCACCCGAGACUCAGUGAAAUUGAACUCGCUGUGAAGAUGCAGUGUACCCGCGGCAAGACGGAAAGACCCCGUGAACCUUUACUAUAGCUUGACACUGAACAUUGAGCCUUGAUGUGUAGGAUAGGUGGGAGGCUUUGAAGCGUGGACGCCAGUCUGCGUGGAGCCAACCUUGAAAUACCACCCUUUAAUGUUUGAUGUUCUAACGUUGGCCCCUGACCGGGGUUGCGGACAGUGUCUGGUGGGUAGUUUGACUGGGGCGGUCUCCUCCCAAAGCGUAACGGAGGAGCACGAAGGUUAGCUAAUCCUGGUCGGACAUCAGGAGGUUAGUGCAAUGGCAUAAGCUAGCUUGACUGCGAGCGUGACGGCGCGAGCAGGUGCGAAAGCAGGUCAUAGUGAUCCGGUGGUUCUGAAUGGAAGGGCCAUCGCUCAACGGAUAAAAGGUACUCCGGGGAUAACAGGCUGAUACCGCCCAAGAGUUCAUAUCGACGGCGGUGUUUGGCACCUCGAUGUCGGCUCAUCACAUCCUGGGGCUGAAGUAGGUCCCAAGGGUAUGGCUGUUCGCCAUUUAAAGUGGUACGCGAGCUGGGUUUAGAACGUCGUGAGACAGUUCGGUCCCUAUCUGCCGUGGGCGCUGGAGAAUUGAGGGGGGCUGCUCCUAGUACGAGAGGACCGGAGUGGACGCAUCACUGGUGUUCGGGUUGUCAUGCCAAUGGCACUGCCCGGUAGCUAAAUGCGGAAGAGAUAAGUGCUGAAAGCAUCUAAGCACGAAACUUGCCCCGAGAUGAGUUCU